GAUGAACGCUGGCGGCGUGCCUAAUACAUGCAAGUCGAGCGAACAGACGAGGAGCUUGCUCCUCUGACGUUAGCGGCGGACGGGUGAGUAACACGUGGAUAACCUACCUAUAAGACUGGGAUAACUUCGGGAAACCGGAGCUAAUACCGGAUAAUAUAUUGAACCGCAUGGUUCAAUAGUGAAAGACGGUUUUGCUGUCACUUAUAGAUGGAUCCGCGCCGCAUUAGCUAGUUGGUAAGGUAACGGCUUACCAAGGCGACGAUGCGUAGCCGACCUGAGAGGGUGAUCUGCCCCACUGGAACUGAGACACGGUCCAGACUCCUACGGGAGGCAGCAGUAGGGAAUCUUCCGCAAUGGGCGAAAGCCUGACGGAGCAACGCCGCGUGAGUGAUGAAGGUCUUCGGAUCGUAAAACUCUGUUAUUAGGGAAGAACAAAUGUGUAAGUAACUAUGCACGUCUUGACGGUACCUAAUCAGAAAGCCACGGCUAACUACGUG
rnacentral:rRNA from 1 species